CUACGGGAGGCUCCAGUGAGGAAUUUUGCGCAAUGGGCGAAAGCCUGACGCAGCAACGCCGCGUGUACGAAGAAGGCCUUCGGGUUGUAAAGUACUUUCAGGAGGGAAGAAGGUUAUCUGUUUAAGAGAUGGGUAACUUGACGGUACCUCCAGAAGAAGCUCCGGCUAACUCCGUGCCAGCAGCCACGGUAAUACGGAGGGAGCAAGCGUUAUUCGGAGUUACUGGGCGUAAAGCGCGCGUAGGUGGUUUACCAAGUCGGGAGUGAAAGUCCACGGCCUAACCGUGGGAUUGCUUCCGAAACUGGUGGACUAGAGGAUGAGAGGGGAAGGCGGAAUUCCAGGUGUAGCGGUGAAAUGCACAGAUAUCUGGAGGAACACCAGUGGCGAAGGCGGCCUUCUGGAUCAUACCUGACACUGAGGUGCGAAAGCGUGGGGAGCGAACAGGAUUAGAUACCCCUGUAGUC
rnacentral:rRNA from 1 species